UGCCUUUAUUUUACCACAAGRYUGRYYUAUAYAGRGUUCGUUCGUUUUACGAACUAUGGCGAUAAACGCGACAGUUUAACCGGUUCGGACCCGGGGGCGGUACCCGGCGACUCCACCACCAGUACUUGUUUUGGCAAGUAUUGCUGAUGGGGUCGAAAUAGUAUCGACGGACGGCAAUGAUUGUUGGCUUUUGCCCGGGUGAGGCCCGUUAAAGGCUCAAAUUGAAUAGUUGCAAAUGACAACAAUUCUCAAGAGUUUGCUCUCGCAGCGUAAGCUGUGCGAGUAUCUCGCAUUUAACUCCUAGCCCCUUGAAAGGUUAGGCGGGGUUCGGAGGCACCUGGCAACAGAAGCCUCCACU
rnacentral:tmRNA from 1 species